GAUGAACGCUGGCGGCGUGCCUAAUACAUGCAAGUCGAACGAAACUUCUUUAUCACCGAGUGCUUGCACUCACCGAUAAAGAGUUGAGUGGCGAACGGGUGAGUAACACGUGGGCAACCUGCCCAAAAGAGGGGGAUAACACUGGGAAACAGGUGCUAAUACCGCAUAACCAUAGUUACCGCAUGGUAACUAUGUAAAAGGUGGCUAUACUACCGCUUUUGGAUGGGCCCGCGGCGCAUUAGCUAGUUGGUAGGGUAAAGGCUUACCAAGGCAAUGAUGCGUAGCCGAAUUGAGAGGUUGAUCGGCCACAUUGGGACUGAGACACGGCCCAAACUCCUACGGGAGGCAGCAGUAGGGAAUCUUCCACAAUGGGCGAAAGCCUGAUGGAGCAACGCCGCGUGGGUGAAGAAGGUCUUCGGAUCGUAAAACCCUGUUGUUAGAGAAGAAAGUGCGUGAGAGUAACUGUUCACGUUUCGACGGUAUCUAACCAGAAAGCCACUGCUAACUACGUG
rnacentral:rRNA from 1 species